GUGCUCUCUUCAGCAGCAUGCAUAGUAAGAUUGGAACGAUACAGAGAAAAUUAGCACAAGCCCUGUGCAAGAAUGACACACAAAAUCAUGAAGCAUUCCAUAUAUAA
ensembl:snRNA U6 U6 spliceosomal RNA